AUUGAACGCUGGCGGCAGGCUUAACACAUGCAAGUCGAGCGGGGACUUCGGUCCUAUCGGCGAACGGGUGAGGAAUGCUUGGGAAUCUGCCCAGUAGCGGGGGAUAACGUUUCGAAAGGAACGCUAAUACCGCAUACGCCCUACGGGGGAAGGGGGGGAUCUUCGGACCUCUAACUAUUGGAUGAGCCCAAGUCGGAUUAGCUAGUUGGAGGGGUAAAGGCCUACCAAGGCGACGAUCCGUAGCUGGUCUGAGAGGAUGAUCCGCCACACUGGAACUGAGCCACGUUCCAGACUCCUACGGGAGGCAGCAGUGGGGAAUAUUGGACAAUGGGCGAAAGCAUGAUCCAGCCAUGCCGCGUGUGUGAAGAAGGCCUUGGGGUUGUAAAGCACUUUAAGCGAGGAGGAAUGGCUCUUGGUUAAUAACCUUGAGCAGUGACGUUACUCGCAGAAUAAGCACCGGCUAACUCUGUGCCAGCCGCCGCAGUAAGAC
rnacentral:rRNA from 1 species